AGCGGUACUCGGCAAUACCCGCAAAACACACGGGAGGCGGGCGCGGCGCCGGCCUAUGCUGCGCUGUGCCUGCCUUCUUCGCGGCGGGGGGUGAAGGUCCUCGCAUCCGCGUCGCCAACAGUUCUCGCGAACAAGCGCCGAGAGGUGCUACGGCUCACCAGAAACACUCCCGCACUUGUGAUGGGACGCUCCAGGUUCUCUGGAGGGUCCCCUGCGGUUGGAAGAGGGCCGGGACGCGAAGUGCUGUGAGUGCAAUCUGCCGAGCAGUGCGGGCGGGGGACGGGGAGGGUUUCGCCUUUCCUCGUGCCUCGUUCGUGGUGUGACUCGAUGAGGACUAUACACCGCU
rnacentral:RNase_P_RNA from 2 species